rnacentral:rRNA from 1 species
GAUGAACGCUGGCGGCGUGCCUAAUACAUGCAAGUCGAACGAGGUGCUUUUGUAGCAAUACGAAAGUAUCCUAGUGGCGAACGGGUGAGUAACGCGUUGGUGACCUACCCCAAAGUGUGGGAUAACAGUUCGAAAGAACUGCUAAUACCGCAUGUGGUUAUCGGAUUUAGAAACUGAUAACUAAAGGAGCAAUUCGCUUUGGGAGGGACCUGCGUCCCAUCAGCUAGUUGGUGAGGUAAUGGCUCACCAAGGCUACGACGGGUAGGGGACCUGAGAGGGUGACCCCCCACAAUAGGACGUAGAACAACGGUCCGAUACACCUACGGGUGGGCGAGCAGUAGGGAAGUAAUUGUC